GGGGCGGCCGCGCACGGACGGGCGGCGCCGCUCCGUCGGCACCUUCUGCCCUCGCAGGCGGCGGAGGCUGUAUGUGGGCAGCUGGCAAACUGUCUGUCUCCUUCCUGGCUUUGGCUGUGUCCGGGGAGCGAUUUGACUGCGUUCAGUUUCCCGAGUUUGGUUGAUUUUUGGUGGGCUAAAGCAGUCGGUUUGUCCCUGAGAAAGUAAGCGGCGCUUUCCGUGCUCGGAUUUGGUGCUGAGAGAGGAGACCCGAGUAGUUUUGCACAGCUUGACUUGUCACCCGAGCAGCUGGCAGGGGUGGCAGCGGGAUGGAAAAAUGGGAGCACGAUUGGGCUGGCUGCCUGCGCAAAAGGAUGGUUCAGUCAGUGCUGGAGCAAGGGCAGAACUGCCGCAUAUUAGCCAGAGAAGUGCUGGGCUUGGAACGUGUCCUGCAGACGGCCGCCUCUGCAGCCAGCUUUGCUCGCUGGCCUGGGCAGAUGCCGAAUUCUUUCCAAGAACUUGGCGUGGCGGUCUCCUAAAGCAGCAGGGCCUAUCCUAUAAUGAUUUAAAUCAUCUGUUCAGAAGAAGCAUUAAUGGGAUUUGCAUAAGACUCCUGACAUUUUGCUGAUGUUCCUGUUAAGAAGACCUAUCACCUCAUUUUGAAAACACUAAUAAAAGCACCAGUAUUCAAACUGCAGGGUUUAAAUGCUCACUGCAGGGUUUAAAUGUUCACAGUGGGUUAACAUCAGGCAUUCUGCUGCAGAACAGAAUUGUGAUUUAUAAGUUUGUGGUUUGUUCUCACAUGGUGUACAAGGAGAUGGACAUACAAGAAUGAUACUGUCAGCAAAAAGGUUUUUAUUUCUUUUGAAAAAGGGGAGGGCUAAGUUAGAAAGAAAAGUCUAAUUUCAGCUUAUCAGAACAGGACACAUCUUCAUGUUCAAGUCCGAUACCUCUGUGUCAUUCUGAGUUGUGAUAGUGACUGAAAAUGAAGUUCCUUGUUGUGCCGUAACAAUUGAGCUCUAUUUAGGUGAGGUUUUUUUGUUCAUUGAAGUUUUUAAGUGGGAUAGCUUGAGCUCCAGCAUGCCAGGUAAAUAAUCUCAGUGUACCAUCAUGGUAACGUAUAGCAGCACCAACACAUCCUCAGUUUUGAGAGUAUUAUGAAUGUUUAAAAUGUGCUUGCAGUUCUGGGCUGCUUAAAUCGUGAACACUGAAAACACAUCUGUGAAAUGUUCCUGGUUGUUUUGGAAAUGUGCUAGUUUUAAAAAGUUGUGCAACAAACAGCAGAAACAUAGAAAUGCUGUGGGAGUUUUACAGGGAAACUGACAUUUUGAAAUCUGAACUGUACCUAGCUUCCUGUUUUGGGUGUAACCUGGAGAUCUAUAAGCAAGUCAGUUUCUGAACUGGAUAGGUAAUUAAAUAAUAUCCAUGGAUUGAUGGCAUAUUCCUAAGAGAGUGUUUGCAUUGGCCUUAAAAUACAAUAUUCCAUUUCAUAAAUGAGAGAGCUGAAGAAUAUUUACAAAGUGACCUGUAUCAGUUUAACUGAUGGGGAUAAAUGUGACCUAAGGCAGUUUUUUAUUUUAAACCAUGUAAAGGUACUUUUGGCAGAGAGGCAUCAUGGUAAUGAUCCAAAGAGAAAUGUCUGAGCCCUGCAUUUAACAAAUGGAAUGGAAGGUCAUGUUCAGGCUUGAAUGUGAACCUUUAAUGAAGGACUCUUUAGACGUCAUUAACUUCUUAAUGACACUGAUAUCACUGUGUGCCUCUUUGCACUGAGCUUUGUGCAUUGUGACGCUAUCUUGAAGCAAGGACAAGUAGUAUGGCCUCUGUAUUAGAGGAGCAGAUUUAUUCUUUGGGGUAAGCAAGCUGCUUGCAACUGUUCUGGCACAUGAAAAUCAGUUAGAUCCUUGUUUCAGAUUUGCAGAUGGUAGUGGUUCUUGAGUCUUUCAGUAUUACAGAGUAAGCAUAAUUUUAUAUGUAUCUCUUUCCAUGCAGAACUAAGAAAUACUGCCUCUAAUGACAACACCUCUGGCCUCUUUUCAUCCAGGAGUUAGGAGUGCUAAAAUCUUCAAUGGGCCUUAGAAAAAGAUUGGGCAAGCUCAAGAAAAGAAUUGAUCUGCCAAAUAUAAAGACACCAUUAUGGUAUUGAGUCCUGGGCCAUAGAAGGCUAGGUGUCACAGCAUAUGCCACAGUGGGGACAGCCACAAUACACAGGGUAUCGCCAUACAAUUUCAUAAAGCUUCAACCCACACAGAGUAACACCAUAUCACUUUAGAAGGCUUCAGGCAUCUGCCCGUGCAGAGUAACAUCACUUCGGAAGGCUGCAAGCGUCUGCUCAUCUUGUUUAGAUCCUUUUGUACCCCUCAUGUUCAUGCAUUGCACCUGAGUGCCCUGUGUCCUCUGGUAUGGUCAGUGCACCUGGGCACUGCAUGGCUCAUUGCUGUCAGUGCUGUUCACCUGCUUCUCACAGCUGUACACUGGGGAUGAGGCUUGGCUGCAGCCCCACUCCCAGUUACCACAAACUACUUGCAGCUAGGGAGUGGGAUUGGAACUACGUACAUGUCUUGUUCUUUGCUUCCUGUGCUCACUUUUGUCCAAUGUCACGGAAAUGGUGUGUCUCUGGUAUGGUAAUUUGUACAACUGUAAUGUACUUAAAGUGCUGGAAGUGUCUUGGUCUUGGCUGUGAAAACCCCAGGGCACUCAUUGCCUGUAAGAAAGAUUCUCGUGCCCCAGUUAAUGCCAGAACGCUGUCACAGCAGUGGUGCUUUCACUGGCUCAAUUUUAAAAACGUGCAGGUGCAGUGAGGCACAAGAGCAUCCGCGAUUACCGUGCGUGUCGUGACCACGAGGGGGCCCUGGCAGCUUCGGUCUGGCUGAGCCCGGACUUACACUGGUACAGGGGCAGGGCUGAUAGCUUGGUGCCUCAGUGUUCAGCACUUCUGAAUUACCUCUUCUAUAUUUUCAUUUUAUUACAGUAUUUUGCUGUGUAAUUUUGAGAAAUUCAUCUUGUUAUAAAAACUCAACAUUAGCCAUUUGUUCUCUGUGGCAGAAGACAUUACCAAGCAGGUCAUCACAUGUGAGUUUUCAUUUGUAUGAACAAUUUCCCCAAGUAAAAAGUUCAAGAGUUUUGCACACAUCACUGUAUUUCUAAAGUAGAAGGAAUUGGUAUGAAAAAUCUUAAUGAUAAGAUCUUUUGUAUAUCUUAAGCUUGGUAUUACAGUAUUUCAAUAAAGAUUUUCUUUCUCUGCA